GGGAGCGGAGCCCCCUGUCCGGGGGGGGGGGCGGUGUUAGUGCUUGUGGAUCCUGGGAGGCCGGGAGGGUCGGGCCUUCUCCCCAUUCCUGCCCCGCCAUUUGUCUUAGGCCCGGCUACCAGCCGGAGCCCCGGAUCCUCCGCCUCCUCCCGGACAUUGACCUUGACCAAGACCUGGACACCCGCGGGCCCGAACGUACGAGCCCUGGCCACACACCCCCAGCCAGCAAGACCCCUCGAGAAAAACCAGCCUCAGAGGAAGAACUUGUCAAAGCCAUCGCUAAAAGCAACGCUUGGCCCAGCACCCCUGAAGCCAACCUAAGGAUAACAGUGCUAAGAGUCCUGGGCCUAGGAAAUGAGAUUGUAAAAUUGGACCGGACCGGACUAGAUUGGAUUGGGAAAUAUCUGAGCGGUGGGACCCCAAGCCAGUAACCACUUGUCUGCUUCCCUCCCUUUGCUCUCGUUCAAGGGGAUAACGAUAACAGCACCCACCUCCCAGGGCGCUUGUGAGGAUCCCAUGGUUAUAAGGUGCCUAACACAGUGCCUGGUAUUGGAGCAAAUGCUAUGUGAAUGUUAACCGUUUGAAUUAUUUCUUUAAGUAGGUGUGAUUGCUUCACACGGGAUAACUUUACAUGGCUUUUUAGAAGUGAUCAGAUGCAUAAGGAGAGAAAUGAUUUUCUGUGUAAGGUAAUUGGGAAAUGGUGGAUAAAGCACCCCCCCCCCAUUCAGGAGGAUGGGAGUUCAAAUCAGGUCUCAGACACUUGAUACUUACUAGCUGUGUGACCUUGGGCAAGUCAUUUAACCUCAUUGCCCCAGCAAAAACAGAAACAAAAAAGUAAUUGGGAAAUGCAUUCACCUGAAUUAAGGCCACUUCAGGUGGUGAUGCUUUUGAUUGGUCAUUGGGUUUACUUUCAAGUUUCAUAGGCAUGAAAUCGUUUAUGGUAUUGUUAUGCUUCUUAUUUUUCUUAUAUGGGGAUAUGCGGUAAACUAGUGUAUCAGCUAUGUUGUUAGAAAAGCAACUUCUCUUAUGAUCUAGAUAUCGUGAGAUUAAGAAUUGUACUGUUCCAAAAAGGUAAAGAAAUGGGUUGAGAAGACUGUUGGGUCAUUUUAUCAGCCCUGCUGACCAUGUGCUGUAAUAUUCUGAAGUACUGUAAUUGAAGAACUUGUAAACUCUCAGUUUUGUCUAUAAAUAAGGAGGAAAUUUCAUUUUAAAUUAUUUGGGUACAAUUGAUGCACAUUAUGAGAUUGUUUAACUACGUUAUUUGGAGUUAUGGUUAUAAUGUUAUAAACCUUUCAAGGGGCAGCUAGAUGGCGCAGUGGUUAAAGCACUGGCCCUGGA